rnacentral:rRNA from 1 species
GUGAGGAAUUUUCCGCAAUGGGCGAAAGCCUGACGGAGCAAUGCCGCGUGAAGGAUGAAGGCCUAUGGGUUGUAAACUUCUUUUCUCAGAAAAGAAUUAUGACGGUAUCUGAGGAAUAAGCAUCGGCUAACUCUGUGCCAGCAGCCGCGGUAAGACAGAGGAUGCAAGCGUUAUCCGGAAUGAUUGGGCGUAAUGCGUCUGUAGGUUGUUUAAAAAGUAUUCUGUCAAAGAUUAGGGCUUAACCCUAGAUAGGCAGAAUAAACUUUUAAGCUAGAGUUUGGUAGAGGCAGAGGGAAUUCCCGGUGGAGCGGUGAAAUGCGUAGAUAUCGGGAGGAACACCAAAGGCGAAGGCACUCUGCUGGGCCAAUACUAACACUGAGAGAUGAAAGCGAGGGGAGCAAAUGGGAUUAGAAACCCGAGUAGUCC